GUCAGGAUAGCUCAGUUGGUAGAGCAUGAUACAGUUAAUUUCAGGGUUGUGAGUUCAAGCCCCAUGUUGGGUGAAAGAUU
rnacentral:tRNA from 1 species